CCUACGUGUGGCUGCAGUGGGGAAUAUUGGACAAUGGGCGAAAGCCUGAUCCAGCCAUGCCGCGUGUGUGAAGAAGGCCUUCGGGUUGUAAAGCACUUUCAGUGGGGAAGAAAGCCUUGGGGCUAAUACCCUCGAGGAAGGACAUCACCCACAGAAGAAGCACCGGCUAACUCCGUGCCAGCAGCCGCGGUAAUACGGAGGGUGCGAACGUUAAUCGGAAUUACUGGGCGUAAAGCGCGCGUAGGCGGUCUGAUAAGCCGGUUGUGAAAGCCCCGGGCUCAACCUGGGAACGGCAUCCGGAACUGUCAGGCUAGAGUGCAGGAGAGGAAGGUAGAAUUCCCGGUGUAGCGGUGAAAUGCGUAGAGAUCGGGAGGAAUACCAGUGGCGAAGGCGGCCUUCUGGACUGACACUGACGCUGAGGUGCGAAAGCGUGGGUAGCAAACAGGAUUAGAUACCCUGGUAGAC
rnacentral:rRNA from 1 species